CAGGAGUCUGUCCCAGGAAUGGAGUGCUGACUCCAUUAGGAGUGAGUCUCUAGACCUCUCUGAAGGAUUCAAUGUCAGUGCUAAAUUUACAGUAGGGAGGCAUCUCCACCGCAAGUUCGAAUUCAACAACAGUCACAAUACUUGGAUUGAUGUUCUGUUUCAGAAACAAAAAAUGAAAAGAAGUGUGGACUCUUGUCCAGUAUUACAUAUAAAAUAUGGUGGUACUGAAGUCCCAAAAGUAAGCUUUACACUUGGGAUGUUGGCUUUCAAUCCAAUUCCUUGAAGGCCAGGCAGACUCAGAGGGGCAGGAUCUGAACCACUGGAUCAGCAUGUUGGACACUUUGGGGUUAUCACAGAUGACAAGCACUCAAAGGUAAUAAAUCAAGAGCUCAAUUUACAAAGAAGAAUCGGUAGUUUUCUGAGAAGUAGUGGUGUGGCCGGCUUGGAGAAAUUACGAAGUCAAGUCCAUUUCUCCUUCCAUUUUGCCGUCCAAACAGACGCAGAGCGGGUCCCACGCCAUCUGAAGGAGCCCGGACAGUGUCACCCUCUCCACGGUGCUGGCCGGCCUGCCACCCACGCAGGGGAGCCUGGGCCUGCGCCCCUCUUCCGCACCCGCCCGCCGCAGAUGCGGGGAAAACCGCCUGACAUCAUGAGAGCAGGACAAACUCACUUUGAAGGAUUCCUGGGCAGGACUUCAAGUGAAAUCAUAUGCCUGAGAAGAACUUGAUACCGGUCUAGAGAAAAUAACUAGUUCUGACUUUGCCAAACCGUGGAAUGUGCAAAAUGCUCUACUUUUGUGCAAGGGGCCAAGUGUCCCUUAAAAAGCUCCAUUAUGAACGCGAAGGGGCAAGAAGCUGGUGCCGUUGUUGAACGUGGGGGAGAAGUACAAAAGGCGUGUGAGUUUCCGCUACUUGACGUUAUUUUAUUAGCAGUCUGUUCCACUUUGGGGAGGGUAUCUGCACCUGUGCAUGAACGAUUAUCUCUGCCUGUGCUCAGCGAGUAUAUGCACGCAACGGGGAAAUAUAUGGGGACAAAACAUUUACUGCUUUCUUGCCACUGAAGGCUAUCAAUCAAAAAAUGAAAAACAAAAGUAGUUAUUUGCACAGUAAAGGCAACAACGCAGUCAACAUUUUAGAAUUCAUCCAAGCCCCUAUAAUGGAAUACUUUCUGCUAGCAAAUGCAUUCUGGUUGAAAGGCGAAGCUGAAUCCAGCCACCUAACUAAAUGGAAAGAUUUAUUUUCUCAGUGAUAAAACAGGUGUGUUUGUAUCUUUUAAACAAAUGUAGGUAACAAAAAUAAAAUGAAAUGAAAUAAAAUGAGAGGAAAUAACGGUGGAGAAGAAGACACAGGUGGCUUUAUUUGUAUUCUAAAAAUGUUAUUUUGUCACUUGGUGAGAGGUAAGAAUAUAGACUUUGCAAGCUGAAAAUUAUAUUCAAGUAGCUAAUAUUUUCCACUGUGAAGUAUCCUCAAAGUAAAAAUAUUAACCACCUUUUGUUCCUUCAUUUAUUUCUCUUAAGACCUAAAGGAAAAUAUUUCCCGGUAUUUUGUAUUUAGUUACUCCACACAAAUGUGACACUUGCUUUUUUUCAGUUUCCUCUUAUGAAAAAAAAGUGGAAAAAGUAAAACAUUAAGGAAAAAAAGGCAAAUGGAAGACUACCUUCCUUUUUUUUAAACAUCUAGUUUUUACACCCAGAGUUAAGAUAGUGUUUACCUUCUCAGCAAUGAUGGUCAGCUCCCUCCUGAUGUAAUGUAGCUCAAGACAUCUGAAAUAUCAAAUAGUCAGACCAAACUAGUGAACAUGAAGAUUCCCCCCAUGAACAAUUUAGAAAAUGGAGGUGGUUGAUGAUACACAAAAGAGAGGAUUACCAUUCUGAUACUUUCC
ensembl:lncRNA